rnacentral:lncRNA from 1 species
CAUCUUUCAACCUUCCCCUUGAUUAUGCAGGAGACAAAAUCAACUUACAGCCUGCAAGAAAAGAUGACAUAUAUGAUGAAAUUGGAACAAUUGGAUUACAAGUACAGAAUAAGGCCUGGGAGCUGCUGGUUACAGUUGUUGUACCAUUGGAGAAAGGAAAUUGCUUCAACAUCACUUGAUAAAGCCAGAGGAUGGUACCACUGAGAAGGUGGUACCUUCUACCCUGCUAUGGGAAUUUGUUCAUCCAAAAUUUUCUUGAACUUUGGCAUUCUACAUCCCUGGAUUCAGAGAAGGUAGCCAAGGAUUUCUGCAUCUUUUAAGUCGAAUUUCGACAGUCCCACCCCACCUUGGAGCUGUGCAGCAGUGUAACAGGAG